rnacentral:lncRNA from 1 species
AGAGAGUUCUCUCAACUUCUCUCUCUUUCUCUCACUGUAUCUCUCACUAUUUUGCCUUCAAUGACAUUCCAGAGAGUUCUGUCGUUUCUCUCUCUUUCUCUCACUGUAUCUCUCAUCAUUUUUUACCUUCAAUCUGUAUGUUUUCAUGGUAUCAGAGCGGGAUGAUCCUCAGAUUCUUCUCCGUUACUUGUUAUCGAUCGUGUUGGAAGUUUUAUUGAAG